rnacentral:lncRNA from 1 species
UCUUCUCUCAACAACUCCUUCUCUGUUCGAUCUUCUCUUAAUACCACUCUUCCUCAUUCCUAAGAAACACAUAUAAGUCGAUAUGCGAAGAGAGGUAAACACAUUCUGACACAACGUUUAGAGACAGUCAUUGCUGUAUCUGAUCCAAAGUUCUGAACCAAAGUUCCGUCCUGAAGAGAACCAACGUUUCCACUCAACAAAUCACUUGUCUCGCAUUAAGGUGAAUUUGCAAAUACAAACGAGUUGCAAUGUCUCAUCUUCUUGGUGUAGGGGAUGUGGUAACAAUAAGUGUUGAUGAGAAAACAUUGAAGAAAAACCAAGAAGAUCAUGGAGGCUGGGAUUUCCGUUUGUCAAGUCUUAUAGGUGAUGUUGGUGAAGUUACGGGAAUCGAUUAUAGAAGAGAUGCAAGUGUGAAAUUCAAGAAAUACAAUGACGUAUUUACCAUUAAUUCAGCGAGUCUCUUAGUUUACAAUCCUGAACAGAAAUGAGAUUACUCAGAGGUAGAAACGGAAGACAUCCAUCUAAUAUGAUUAAUUCAGCUGCUUUUUCUAUCUGCCUCUCUGACUCUUUCCCUCUUUCUCUGAAGUCUGGACCAUAUUCCUUUUACUGAGAAUACAGAUGUAAUCUUUUUCUUUCUUUCAUUUUCUUUUUCUUCGACUUCUACUUCUCCUCCUCCUCCCCCUCCUCCUCCCCUUCUCCCCCCCCUCCUUUCUCCCUUCUCCUCCACUCAUCCCAUAAUGAUGACGCUGACACAGAAGCUUUCUUCAAUCACCACCUGCCAGCAUCAAUUACUUCUGGGUCAGAAAAUUCUGACAACUGCAACAACUGCAAACACCCACAACAAACCUCUUGUCUAAGAGCCACUGCGAAGGAAAUACUGCUUCGACAUCUCGGACAAUGUUCAGGCUGCACAUGCUAACCUCCAAGACCAGCUCCAAGAAAGCUACUGGCGUCAUUCAGAUGAAGUCGUUUUCUCUCUGACACAGAAGCAUCCUUUCACUUCUCUCCCUCUCUUUCCUUUUCUACUUCUACAACUAUUGGCUGUAUUCAUUACGUCCAGACUCACACUUCUCUCUUCCUCUUCGCCCGUAUUUUGUUUCUUCUUCUGCCUUACUUAAAUCUUAUAAUUCGACAGUUAAAUCUGCAGUAAAUUGUAAUUGUCAACGUUUCAACUUCAAUAAAUAUCUUUAUAACUAUA